UUACCGGGGAAUGAUUGCAGCGUCGAGGCCGCCAGCGCGCCAGCCGUGCUAUUGGGGGAUGGAAACCACCUUAUAGAGUCUCUCCUCGGUCCUCGAUGCGAGCGGAUUGUCACAUGCUCCUGCCACGGCAGAGCGCGUUUCCUCUUCUUCGCUCGCACUUCCUCCGUUCGAUUUUGCGGUGGAGGACUUUCUUCGUGGUGUGAGGCACCGAGAGACAUGGCGGUCGGCGCGGACAAAAAAAGUAGCGAUCGGAAGAAAGUCACGAAGAGCUCUCGGGACCGCACGUUUCCGGAACACCCGCGCCAGCGCGUAUCGCGACGCUUCUUUUCGAGAGUGAACCGUUUGUUCCUGUCCUCUCGCUGUUCCCCGCCGACUUCCCGUGAAUUCUUCGUGGCGUGAGUGUAUCGUACGCGAUGGAAGAUGGCGGCCGACCACGUGUGUUGUUCCGGCAGAGGUGCGACGCAGUGAAGUUUUCAUGCAGUUUAGUGAUCGUUUUCCUUCUUUUUUCUUUUCCCUGUCGAAUGAUCGAUCAGAGAUGAAGAGUUCCGCUCGGCGGAACUCUUCCGGGAGGCUGAAGGGACGGUGACGGGCUGACGGGCACGUGUUCCGGCCGAGCGUCAACGUCACUUUCCAUCGCGCAGGAAUCAGCGGCCGCGUUUAAUGAUAGACAUCACAUCGCACGGACGUAAGGUGGCGGCGGCUACACAUGGCGUUCGAGUCCAUGAGUGGAGCAUGAGAGGAACUGAAAGGAGCAAUAUCGGGCAAUAUCGUAAACGCAUUUUCCAACGGAGAGAACGCGCGCGGUUGCUGCUUGCUGAUUACGUAAAGGCGCCGUGAUCGUCGACGAAUAUCUUUUCAUCGGAGGACUUCUCUCGUGUAUCGCAAAUUGGACGGGGAGAAGAAUUAUCUAUCGCCAGCUGUCGCAAGUAUUAUUGGCGUCGCGCCGAGCCGCGCAAAACUUGGAAACCCAGCCAGACUGCAGCGUUUACGACUUGAGAGUCGGACAAUAAUUGUCGCUUGAGAACCGAUCGUUUGUGGAUACCUGCGAAUUUAUGCCGUCUGCCCGACUGCGAAGGACAUCCCUCGGCUCGGCGGAACAACUCUGAGAAACCAUUUCGCAAGAACUACGCGGGAGAGAUUCGCCGGGAAGCGUUUUGUUUAAUGGGGAAGGCGGUAACCGCGCACAGACCUGCCGACCAAUGGCAGACCGGCUGGAAAUCAUACACGGGAUCGCCGGCCGUGCGGAGGCCUCCGAGAGUGGAAGUGAGGUGCAACACGAGACAAAAAGAAAAGGACAGGAUGGAAACCUUGAACCAAUCGUAAAUGGUGGCGGAGUGAAAGCGGUCACUACGGUUUUCCCAGAAGAGCGCAAGUCACGAAAAAAUCCAGUUGAAGCUCGCUCCUUUUGCGAUAAAUAAACAGACCUUCGGCAGUCAGGUAGCGAUCUGUAUUCACGAAGAGUGAAGAGCGUAAUCUCACGUUAUCUAAUCGUUUGACUAGAUAAAUAUAGUAGUCCCUUCGUCUCUUGCAUCAUCUCUCGUUUGCGAAUAUUUUACCUUUCGUCAUACCAGCGUCAUUUUUGCAAGACCUGUUUAGGUUAACUCUUCUGUCUCAUCGUGAGUGCAAACUAUCUAAAUAGAAAGGAGAAAAAUCGGUCGCAUGAGACGCUUCGAAGGGAAACUGCAGACAACACGUGACGCUUUCGUUCGAGACGAGAUAACACGGUGACACUAUGCGGACAAUACUCCGUGACUCGCACGAUUAUACACGAGCACAGCUUAAUCACCGUAAUAGGGCGAGCAUAAUGGCUGAUACGAUCUGUAUUUGCUUGUUAGAUUCGAGCUAUACCUUCCUCUCUCCCUCAGCCACGUACGGAAGAACGUGCUUCGUCUUGUUUAUCCGUGUGCAAAUAAAAAUUACGCUAUGUGUUUGCUUUGCGCGCUUAAAUAGCGAUCUUGUGUGAACGUUUUUGUACCAUGAUACGUUACAACAAUGAAGCGACAUGAAUUAAACGCUAUAUUUAGCA